rnacentral:misc_RNA from 1 species
AACUUUCAGCAACGGCUCUCUUGGCUCUCGCAUCGAUGAAGAACGCAGCGAAAUGCGAUAAGUAAUGUGAAUUGCAGAAUUCAGUGAAUCAUCGAAUCUUUGAACGCACCUUGCGCUCCUUGGUAUCCCGAGGAGCAUGCCUGUUUGAGUGCCAUUAAAUUCUCAACCUUCCAACUUUUAUUAGCUUGGAUAGGCUUGGAUGUGGGGGUUGCAGGCUUCAUCAAUGAGGUCAGCUCUUCUUAAAUGCAUUAGCGGAACUUUUAUGGACCGUCUAUUGGUGUGAUAAUUAUCUACGCCGUGGAUGAGAAACAGCUUUAUCAAGUUCAGCUUCUAACCGUCCAUUGACUUGGACAAUUUUGACAAUUUGACCUCAAAUCAGGUAGGACUACCCGCUGAACUUAAGCAUAUCAAUAAGCGGAGGCU